UACGUAGGGGGCUAGCGUUGUCCGGAAUCAUUGGGCGUAAAGCGCGUGUAGGCGGUUCGGUAAGUCUGCUGUGAAAGUCGGGGGCUCAACCCUCGAAUGCCGGUGGAUACUGUGGGACUAGAGUGCGGAAGAGGCGAGUGGAAUUCCUGGUGUAGCGGUGAAAUGCGCAGAUAUCAGGAGGAACACCAAUUGCGAAGGCAGCUCGCUGGGACGUUACUGACGCUGAGACGCGAAAGCGUGGGGAGCAAACAGG
rnacentral:rRNA from 1 species